UACGAAGGGGGCGAGCGUUGUCCGGAAUCAUUGGGCGUAAAGCGCGUGUAGGCGGUUCGGUAAGUCCGCUGUGAAAGUCGGGGGCUCAACCCUCGGAUGCCGGUGGAUACUGUCGGACUAGAGUGCGGAAGAGGCGAGUGGAAUUCCUGGUGUAGCGGUGAAAUGCGCAGAUAUCAGGAGGAACACCGAUUGCGAAGGCAGCUCGCUGGGACGUUACUGACGCUGAGACGCGAAAGCGUGGGGAGCAAACAGG
rnacentral:rRNA from 1 species